rnacentral:rRNA from 1 species
CCUACGGGAGGCAGCAGUGAGGAAUAUUGGUCAAUGGGCGAGAGCCUGAACCAGCCAAGUCGCGUGAGGGAGUACUGCCCUAUGGGUUGUAAACCUCUUUUGUCGGGGAGCAAAAGCCGGACGUGUCCGGCUGUGAGAGUACCCGAAGAAAAAGCAUCGGCUAACUCCGUGCCAGCAGCCGCGGUAAUACGGAGGAUGCGAGCGUUAUCCGGAUUUAUUGGGGUUAAAGGGUGCGCAGGCGGAUUUUUAAGUCAGCGGUCAAAUCGUGGGGCUCAACCCCAUCCAGUCGUUGAAACUGGGGAUCUAGAGUGUGCGAGAGGUAUGCGGAAUGCGUGGUGUAGCGGUGAAAUGCAUAGAUAUCACGCAGAACCCCGAUUGCGAAGGCAGCAUACCGGUGCACAACUGACGCUCAGGCACGAAAGCGUGGGUAUCGAACAGGAUUAGAUACCCCUGUAGUC